ensembl:lncRNA
GUCACCACUCCUCAGGGUUUGCAUAUGCAAACUGAUGCACAGCCACUGAGGUUAAUGUUUGGGUUGGUGGUUUCAUGAAGGAGAAAUCUGCUGAGGGAUCUGUGGGGAUGCACGACAUAACUAUUUGCAUAGGAUUGGUACAUAUACAGAAAAUAAAGUUUACUGACAGUCAUCGUUUUUAAAUACAGUUCUUAAACAAUGACACGUUUAACUGAGGGUCGUGUUUAGUCCUUUGGAAUGAAGAUGUCUGAUGAAUUAGCAGAAGCUUCUUCUUUCCCAUAUGGUCACAGGACCAAAAUGCAUUUUGUACAUCCAGCCGUGUGGUUACACUUCUAUGCAACACGUGACUGGCUGACUCAGUUUUGUGGGUUGCUUUUGCGGUUUUAUGCGAUGCCUUCCCUCCCCACAGCUGUGCUGAGCAUGUUAAUCCAUACCUCCUGCUCCCUGUGGGGUCAGCAGAGAUAUCCCAGAGCACAUGCUGCUGGAGAAAGAGAAAACAUUAUUAAAGAAGGAAAAGGAAAAGGGGGUCAUAUUCACUCAGAGAGUCUCAUCAAACUGGAGAGGAACCAAGAUCUGGUUCAUCCCCUUGACAGUUCAAGAUGAUUCCCGCCCAAAUUAUACAAGGUGAUGAUGCUAGUACAGAAGAUGUUCCAGGCGUUUUGCAUUUUAAAACGGUGUGGAAAAGAAAAGGGAAAGGAAAUCGGGGUUUUUUGAUGGUAUGCUCAAACCUGAAAAAACGCCAUGUUCAGCUUUGCGUUCUGGUAGUGUAUCAGCUGCCUCUUGUGUCUCUGUGAAUGUGAACAAGCAUUUGUGAGCAACACUGGAAGUGGGGACAGUGCAAACCCAGCACAGUGUAUGUAGAGUGUAAGAUAUUUCCAUUGCAUUUUUAUUUAUUUUUGCUACGUGCAGCAUCUCUGCAGGCCUGCACAAGGCAAGCUUCUCUCUUCAACUAGCUUUCUUCCCCACACUUUGAGGAUGGGUACUGGUCACAGUCAUGCUGUGCUGUGCGGAAUUUUUAAAACUUGCCUCAAUUCCACCUAAGGGCUAUUUCUGCAGAAAAAUAGCUUCCAUCUGCAUUUUCUGCCACAGCUUUUGCUUCAGAGCCCACCUUCUACUCUGUCCUGGACAAAUGCUGUUCUUCCUUUCCCCACCUCCCUUAUUAUGUCAGGGAUGGUUUCUCACGUCCUCUCCUGCCCCUGCUGUGCCUGUUGUUUGCUGUUGCCUGCUGUUUUUCCCUAGCUGCUGAUAACCUAAGAGAGGUAGUGAAUAGACCUCCUGUGCAACAGAGGAGUCACAGGCUGUCUGCCAGUCAUUCAGGUUUGUGCGUAAUGGGAGCAGUGGUCUGGUAGUCACUUGAAAAUCACAGAAUCAUAGAAUGGCCUAGGUUGAAAAGGACCUCAAAGAUCAUCAAGUUUCAACCCCCCUGCUGAGUGCAGGGUCGCCAACCACUACACCAGGCUGCCCAGAGCCACGUCCAGCCUGGCCUUGAACACCUCCGAGGAUGGGGCAUCCACAACCUCCCUGGGCAACCUGUUCCAGUGCGUCACCACCCCAUGUGUGAAAAAAUUCCUCCUAAUAUCUAACCUACAUCUCUUCUGUCUCA